GACGAACGCUGGCGGCGUGCUUAACACAUGCAAGUCGAGCGGAAAGGCCACUUCGGUGGUACUCGAGCGGCGAACGGGUGAGUAACACGUGAGUAAUCUGCCCCUGGCUUUGGGAUAGCCACCGGAAACGGUGAUUAAUACCGGAUACGACCACUUCUCGCAUGGGAUGGUGGUGGAAAGUUUUUUCGGCCAGGGAUGUGCUCGCGGCCUAUCAGCUUGAUGGUGAGGUAAUGGCUCACCAUGGCUUCGACGGGUAGCCGGCCUGAGAGGGUGACCGGUCACGCGGGGACUGAGACACGGCCCAGACUCCUACGGGAGGCAGCAGUGGGGAAUAUUGGACAAUGGGCGGAAGCCUGAUCCAGCAACGCCGCGUGAGGGAUGACGGCCUUCGGGUUGUAAACCUCUUUCAGCAGGGACGAAGCGCAAGUGACGGUACCUGCAGAAGAAGCACCGGCCAACUACGUGCCAGCAGCCGCCGCCG
rnacentral:rRNA from 1 species